CUGCACCUUAACUUCUAGUGUUCGACUCUUCUCUCCUAUUCCCUUCUCUCUUCUACUCUGAAUCUGCUUUGCACUGCUUGUCUUCUCUCUCUCUCUCACACACACACACACUCUCUCUUUCUAUCUGUCUUUCUCUCUCAGUCUCUGUCCUGCAAUGCCAACCAAUCCAAUCAACAAUGCAAGAGCCCCAGAUUGGCCAGCCUCUGCUGGAAGACAACCUGUGUCAGACGUUUCCUGACACCUUGUUUGAGGCAUCCUGUUUAUAGCCCAGUGUAAACUGGUGUAUGUGAGUGCAGAUGAACACUGCAAGCCUACUACUGACCAUGAAUCUGAGCAGAGGUAAGAGCGCUAGUGGACAUUCCCUCCAUCCCUGCUGUCAUGUUGUGCUGCCGUGCCGGUUGGAAGAAAACCCAGUACUUGCUGCUUGUAACAGCAACUCCAUGUGGAAGUUGCCAUAGUUCCAGUGGAGAUGCUGUUACCUGCAGCGAGUUCACCUAUGGCCUACUCAGGUGGAUCAAUGAAUGAGGAAACACCUUAAACAUUCCUACACUUUAAAUAACAUUAUGCCUAAUAAAUUCCAUUUUCUUUUUCAAAGCAACAGUAAAGUUAUAACAAAGAGAAUGGGACACAGGGUGAUGACCUAUGAAUUGACAGCCAGUGUUUGCUGUUUGACUGCCUGUCAGUUCUGUAGGCCACUGUUCUGUUUGCCUUACUGAACACACACAGAGUCGGUCGCAAAAACAGACUUACACGGAUUUAAGGGAAGUGAAGAGAUCAAAAGAUGUUUAGUUUGUAGUCUGCCAAAGAUAAUUACAUAACAUCUCUAAUAUGAAUUAAUAAUUGUAAUAUACUUUUAAUGUAAUUAUAUCUUGUGUUUAUAGUACAUUGUCUGCAUUACUUCACUGUUCAUUUAUUUAUUGUGUGUAGAAAUGUAAUAAAAAAGACAAGCAAUAAACUACAUUGGUCUGAAGAA